rnacentral:rRNA from 1 species
CCUACGGGAGGCAGCAGUGGGGAAUAUUGCACAAUGGGGGAAACCCUGAUGCAGCCAUGCCGCGUGUGUGAAGAAGGCCUUCGGGUUGUAAAGCACUUUCAGUAGGGAGGAAGGUAGUGUAGUUAACACCUGCACUAUUUGACGUUACCUACAGAAGAAGCACCGGCUAACUCCGUGCCAGCAGCCGCGGUAAUACGGAGGGUGCGAGCGUUAAUCGGAAUUACUGGGCGUAAAGCGCAUGCAGGUGGUUUGUUAAGUCAGAUGUGAAAGCCCGGGGCUCAACCUCGGAAUUGCAUUUGAAACUGGCAAACUAGAGUACUGUAGAGGGGGGUAGAAUUUCAGGUGUAGCGGUGAAAUGCGUAGAGAUCUGAAGGAAUACCGGUGGCGAAGGCGGCCCCCUGGACAGAUACUGACACUCAGAUGCGAAAGCGUGGGGAGCAAACAGGAUUAGAUACCCUGGUAGUCCACGCCGUAAACGAUGUCUACUUGGAGGUUGUGGCCUUGAGCCGUGGCUUUCGGAGCUAACGCGUUAAGUAGACCGCCUGGGGAGUACGGUCGCAAGAUUAAAACUCAAAUGAAUUGACGGA